rnacentral:rRNA from 1 species
UACGAAGGGGGCUAGCGUUGCUCGGAAUCACUGGGCGUAAAGCGCACGUAGGCGGAUUGCUAAGUCAGGGGUGAAAUCCUGGAGCUCAACUCCAGAACUGCCUUUGAUACUGGCGACCUUGAGUCCGGGAGAGGUGAGUGGAACUGCGAGUGUAGAGGUGAAAUUCGUAGAUAUUCGCAAGAACACCAGUGGCGAAGGCGGCUCACUGGACUGCCACUGACGCUGAGGCGCGAAAGCUAGGGGAGCAAACAGG